GAUGAACGCUGGCGGCGUGCUUAACACAUGCAAGUCGAACGGAGUGCUCAUGACGGAGGAUUCGUCCAACGGAUUGAGUUACUUAGUGGCGGACGGGUGAGUAACGCGUGAGGAACCUGCCUUGGAGUGGGGAAUAACAGCCCGAAAGGGUUGCUAAUACCGCAUGAUGCAGUUGGGUCGCAUGACCCUGACUGCCAAAGAUUUAUCGCUCUGAGAUGGCCUCGCGUCUGAUUAGCUAGUAGGCGGGGUAACGGCCCACCAAACCGACGAUGGAUAGGGGUUCUGAGAGGAAGGUCCCCCACAUUGGAACUGAGACACGGUCCAA
rnacentral:rRNA from 1 species